rnacentral:rRNA from 1 species
UGGGGGAUAUUGCACAAUGGGCGAAAGCCUGAUGCAGCGACGCCGCGUGGGGGAUGAAGGCCUUCGGGUUGUAAACUUCUUUUGCUCUGAACAAGGCAUGCUAAUGGGUGUGUUGAGUGUAGGGGUUGAUUAGCGCCGGCUAACUACUUGCCAGCAGCCGCGGUAAUACGUAGGGCGCGAGCGUUGUCCGGAAUUAUUGGGCGUAAAGGGCUUGUAGGUGGCUGGUUGCGUCUGUCGUGAAAGAUCAUGGCUUAACUGUGGGUGUGCUGUGGGUACGGGCUGGCUUGAGUGCGGUAGGGGAGGCUGGAAUGCCUGGUGGAGGGGUGGAAUGAGCAGAUAGCAGGAAGAAUAAAGGCGGCGAAGGCGGGUCUCUGGGCUGUUACUGACACUGAGGAGCGAAAGCAUGGGGAGCGAACAGG